rnacentral:rRNA from 1 species
UUUGCGUCGAAGGUAUACCGGUAAGGAGUGCUGGAGCGAAUAGAAGUGAGCAUGCAGGCAUGAGUAGCGAUAAUUAAUGUGAGAAUCAUUAACGCCGUAAACCCAAGGUUUCCUACGCGAUGCUCGUCAUCGUAGGGUUAGUCGGGUCCUAAGUCGAGUCCGAAAGGGGUAGACGAUGGCAAAUUGGUUAAUAUUCCAAUACCAACAUUAGUGUGCGAUGGAAGGACGCUUAGGGCUAAGGGGGCUAGCGGAUGGAAGUGCUAGUCUAAGGUCGUAGGAGGUUGUACAGGCAAAUCCGUAUAACAAUACUCCGAGAACUGAAAGGCUUUUUGAAGUCUUCGGAUGGAUAGAAGAACCCCUGAUGCCGUCGAGCC